rnacentral:rRNA from 1 species
UUCGCCCUUAGAGUUUGAUCCUGGCUCAGGACGAACGCUGGCGGCGUGCCUAACACAUGCAAGUCGAGCGGAGACAGUGAGUAGCUUGCUACGAGCUGUUUUAGCGGCGGACGGGUGAGUAACGCGUGAGCAACCUUUCCCAGACAGGGGAAUAACACACCGAAAGGUGUACUAAUACCGCAUAAGACCACGGGAUCACAUGGUUCUGGGGUAAAAGAUUUAUCGGUUUGGGGUGGGCUCGCGUCCGAUUAGGUAGUUGGUGAGGUAACGGCCCACCAAGCCGACGAUCGGUAGCCGACCUGAGAGGGUGAUCGGCCACAUUGGGACUGAGACACGGCCCAAACUCCUACGGGAGGCAGCAGUGGGGAAUAUUGGGCAAUGGAGGAAACUCUGACCCAGCAACGCCGCGUGGAGGAAGAAGGUUUUCGGAUCGUAAACUCCUGUCCUUGGAGACGAGUAGAAGACGGUAUCCAAGGAGGAAGCCCCGGCUAACUACGUGCCAGCAGCCGCGGUAAUACGUAGGGGGCAAGCGUUGUCCGGAAUAAUUGGGCGUAAAGGGCGCGUAGGCGGCUCGGUAAGUCUGGAGUGAAAGUCCUGCUUUUAAGGUGGGAAUUGCUUUGGAUACUGUCGGGCUUGAGUGCAGGAGAGGUUAGUGGAAUUCCCAGUGUAGCGGUGAAAUGCGUAGAGAUUGGGAGGAACACCAGUGGCGAAGGCGACUAACUGGACUGUAACUGACGCUGAGGCGCGAAAGUGUGGGGAGCAAACAGGAUUAGAUACCCUGGUAGUCCACACUGUAAACGAUGAAUGCUAGGUGUAGGGGGUAUCGACCCCUUCUGUGCCGCAGUCAACACAAUAAGCAUUCCGCCUGGGGAGUACGGCCGCAAGGUUGAA